UGCCUUGAAGUGAUGACUGCAUAGUUCAGCUGAUAACUGUGAUGAGCUCAAGAGUAAAUUAGUCUUUCGCUCCUAUCUGAUCCUGGUA